UACGGGGGGGGCAAGCGUUGUUCGGAAUUACGGGGGGUAAAGGGCUCGUAGGCGGCCAACUAAGUCAGACGUGAAAUCCCUCGGCUUAACCGGGGAACUGCGUCUGAUACUGGAUGGCUUGAAUCCGGGAGAGGGAUGCGGAAUUCCAGGUGUAGCGGUGAAAUGCGUAGAUAUCUGGAGGAACACCGGUGGCGAAGGCGGCAUCCUGGACCGGCAUUGACGCUGAGGAGCGAAAGCCAGGGGAGCAAACGGG
rnacentral:rRNA from 1 species